GUCAGGAAGGGAUCCUGUUUCAGAGAGGUGUGUGUUCCUCUGCUGUCAGGAAGGGAUCUUGUUUCAGAGAGGUGUGUGUUCCUGUACUGUCAGGAAGGGAUCCUGUUUCAGAGAGGUGUGAAUUCCUGUACUGUCAGGAAGGGAUCUUGUUUCAGAGAGGUGCGUGUUCCUCUGCUGUCAAGAAGGGAUCCUGUUUCAGGGAGGUGUGCAUUCCUGUACUGUCAGGAGGGAUCUUGUUUCAGAGAGGUGUGCAUUCCUGUACUGUCAGGAAGGGAUCUUGUUUCAGAGAAGUGUGCAUUCCUGUACUGUCAGAAGGGAUCCUGUUUCAGAGAGGUGUGAGUUCCUGUACUGUCAGGAAGGGAUCUUGUUUCAGAGAGGUGUGAGUUCCUGUACAGUCAGGAAGGGAUCCUGUUUCAGAGAGGUGUGAGUUCCUGUACUGUCAGGAAGGGAUCCUGUUUCAGAGAGGUGUGAGUUCCUGUACUGUCAGGAAGGGAUCUUGUUUCAGAGAGGUGUGAGUUCCUGUACUGUCAGGAAGGGAUCCUGUUUCAGAGAGGUGUGAGUUCCUGUACUGUCAGGAAGAGAUCUUGUUUCAGAGGGGUGUGAGUUCCUGUACAGUCAGGAAGGGAUCCUGUUUCAGAGAGGUGUGAGUUCCUGUACAGUCAGGAAGGGAUCCUGUUUCAGAGAGGUGUGAGUUCCUGUACUGUCAGGAAGGGAUCCUGUUUCAGAGAGGUGUGAGGUCCUGUACAGUCAGGAAGGGAUCCUGUUUCAGAGAGGUGUGAGUUCCUGUACAGUCAGGAAGGGAUCCUGUUUCAGAGAGGUGUGAGUUCCUGUACAGUCAGGAAGGGAUCCUGUUUCAGAGAGGUGUGAGUUCCUGUACUGUCAGGAAGGGAUCCUGUUUCAGAGAGGUGUGAGUUCCUGUACAGUCAGGAAGGGAUCCUGUUUCAGAGGGGUGUGAGUUCCUGUACAGUCAGGAAGGGGAUCCUGUUUCAGAGGGGUGUGUGUUCCUCUGCUGUCAGGAAGGGAUCUUGUUUCAGAGAGGUGUGCAUUCCUGUACUGUCAGGAAGGGAUCUUGUUUCAGAGAGGUGUGUGUUCCUGUACUGUCAGGAAGGGAAUAUGGGCAAGAUUUCCUUGCUAGCUUUCUGCCGAAGACCUUGCUCUUUUCUUGUUUUCUUGAGGGACAAAAAAUAUGGGCUUUCACUUUCAGAGGUCUCUGCUUCCCUUCCCACAUGACAGGGUUUGGAUCGGUGUCCUGACCCGAAUCCCAUGUCAAAUUGUAAUCCCCAGUGUUGGAAGUCGUGCCUGGUGGAAGGUGAUUGGAUCAUGCGGUCAGUUUCUCCUGAAUGGUUUAGCACCAUUCCCUUCGUGCUAUUCUCCUUCGUGCUGUUUUCGUGAACAUGAGUGAUUUCUUGUGAGAGCUGGUUGUUUAAAAAUGUAUAGCACGGCCAGGUGCCGUGGCUCAUGCCUGUAAUCCCAGCACUUUGGAAGACCGAGGUGGGCAGAUCACUUGAGGUCAGGAGUUCAAGACCAGCCUGGCCAACAUGUUGAAACCCUGUUUCUACUAAAUAUACAAAAAUUAGCUGAGCGUGGUGGCACACGUCUGUAAUCCCAGCUACUUGGGAGGCUGAGGCAGGAGAAUUGCUUGAACCUGGGAGGUGGAGGUUGCAGUGAGCCGAGAUGGCAUCACUGCACUCAGCCUGGGUGACAGAGCGAGACUCUGUCUCAAAAAAAAAAAAAAAAAAAAAAAAAAAAAAAAAAA
rnacentral:lncRNA from 1 species